rnacentral:tRNA from 1 species
UGGGGUGUAGCCAAGUGGUAAGGCAACGGACUUUGACUCCGUCAUUCGUUGGUUCGAGUCCAUCCACCCCAGCCA